GCUGGCCACUGGAGCCGAAAUUGAAAAUAUAAUUUUCUCCAUUCUCCUUCCUGGCUGUUUCACUAGAACACAGUCACGGUAAUCCUCACUCCGUUGUCUAAGGAUUUUCACAUCUUACAAUGGGAAUAAUCACUAUCUCACCAAUGGAGUCUAGAUUUACAAAGACAUCACCCAGGUGAGAUUCUGCUCCGUCACGUUUGGCCGCGAGUGAUAAAUGUGACAUUACUCCAUCUGAGGAUCAUUAAAUGUCAGGUCCUGCCGUGACAGCG
rnacentral:lncRNA from 13 species